rnacentral:rRNA from 1 species
CGGGUGAGUAACGCGUGGAUAACCUGCCUCACACUGGGGGAUAACAGUUAGAAAUGACUGCUAAUACCGCAUAAGCGCACAGUACCGCAUGGUACAGUGUGAAAAACUCCGGUGGUGUGAGAUGGAUCCGCGUCUGAUUAGCCAGUUGGCGGGGUAACGGCCCGCCAAAGCGACGAUCAGUAGCCGACCUGAGAGGGUGACCGGCCACAUUGGGACUGAGACACGGCCCAA